ensembl:lncRNA
UGAUAGCAGCUGUGAAGAAAAACUGCACAGAAGAUAAAAUGGCAUCACAUGCUAACAUAAAGGCGAAAUGUAUCUUACUGAAGAGCUUUAAACAAUCCAGAAACAUCAGAUUUGAGUCCUCCAGGCAUUAUUCUUACUAAUGUGUUCCACCACUGCGUCCAUUCUCCCUUUACUUCAUUACAGUCUUCAGUUUCUCUUCACCAGCAGUGGACAUGACUCCUCAAUCAAGAGGAUCAGAGUGUGGUCUUGCAGACAUUGAGCUGCUGGUAUAUUUCUCAAUAAGUGUGCUUUUUAUAAGAGUUUUCUUGCACUGUAAAGCCUGUGCAAUAGAGAUAAGGCCAGCCCCAAGCUGCUGAACAAACCAGAAAAGGCAUUUUUGGAGCGGGAAAAAAGGUAUAGUUGUGAACUGUAAUCCAAAUCUGCAUCUCAAUCUGGAAGCUUGAAUCUCUCUCUACUUUACAUGCACUGAUAGUCACAAUACCUGAAAAGAUUUAUGUUUCUUCAUGACAAAUGAGUGUUGGUG